rnacentral:rRNA from 1 species
GAUGAACGCUAGCGGCAGGCCUAAUACAUGCAAGUCGAACGGAUAUAUGUUUUUCGGAAUAUAUAUUAGUGGCGCACGGGUGAGUAACACGUACAUAACUUGCUUUCAAGCGGGGGAUAGCCUUGGGAAACUGAGAGUAAUACCCCAUAGAAUUAUUGGACGGCAUCGUUUGAUAAUUAAAACUACGGUGCUUGGGGAGUAGAUGUGCGUCUGAUUAGCUAGUUGGUGAGGUAACUAGCUCACCAAGGCGACGAUCAGUAGGGGGCGGUGAGAGCGUGGCCCCCGACCACGGUACGUGAGACAC